GGAGGUGUGGCUCACAUAACAGAGCUUCUGCCUAGCACGCACUAGGCUCUGAGUUCAAACCCCAGUACUGCCA
rnacentral:tRNA from 1 species